AAGACCGUGAAAUUCGUUAAACCCUCCCGAAUCUAAUGAUUAAUACAAUAUUUAUUGAGGGCCCUGCAAUUUGUAGUUUUAUUUGGUGAGACUCGUCUCAUUUUAUUUAAAGGAUAAUCCUAAAAAGUCUAUGGUUUUCUACUGGGUUUUUGUCUCUAAUAACAAACAAAAGAAAACCUAAAUAAAAAAUAUAUGUGAAGGGUCCAAAUUCCGUGCUGGUUGUCGAGUCCAGAAAUACGAUGGUCCAGGCCCAAAUAGCCCCCGUUCAGGAUGCAUAGGCCCAUUUUUGCAGAGGACCUCAUUUCGAACCUAUGUACCCGCUGCCACAUUUCAAGCAUUAGUUGGCCUACGUUCACGGCACAGGCAUUUUUGGAAGCCAAAAAUAUCAAAGUCAUUUUCAACUUAUUAAUCUACGCAAAGAAAUACAACUUAAUAGUCAUUCUUACAUGAAUGAAAUCAUAGCAUUAAUAAUUGUGAGGCAAUCAGUGGGAUACUUGUAUAGUGGGCACCUAAUUUAUGACAAACUAACUCAAAGACCUUGGUUACUCAAAUGAACUAGUAAAAAAAAGUACAACCCAGUAUAAUCCUACUUAGUGGGGUCUGGGGAGGGUACUAUGUACGCUGAACAUACCCCUACCCUGGGGUAGAGAGGCUAUUUCCAAAUAGACCCCCAGCAUCCUUCCCUCCAAGAACUUCCCAUCUUUGCUCUUGGGGAGACUCGAACUCAAAUGAACUAGUGUAUGCAAAUAAAAAAAACAGCGAUUACCAAAUUUUAAAGGAAGUAUAGGUCUGUUGAAUUAAUGAAAUUAGAUCUAUUACACUGAAAAAAACUUCAAACAUAACAGACCUAUUGACCUUACUAAAGUGCUGAUUGUUUGGUUCCGUUCAAUGUUUGCAGAUUUCAGUUGCUAGUAUAAACAAUUAUUGAUUCCAGUUUUUGUGGAUUCACAGUUAUACUUUGCCAACCAAACCAAAUCAAUUUCUAGCAUUGGCUAUCUACUAACUUUAGUGCCUACAAGUAUAAAAUAGUCCAAUACCAAUCAAAAUAGUCCUAAGUACAUUCCAAUACCAAUCGAGCAAUUCACAUUAAUUACGAUGUAAACCUAAGCAACUAAAGCAACGAAUGCAAUGAAGCCAAAUCCUAAAACUCUUGAUGGAAGUGAAAACACAGUAGAAUUCAUCAAGCCUCAGAAUUCCAUUGCAUUUCAUUUCAUUACAGAGAUUACAACCUCGAAUGUGUACCUGGAAAUAGGGGAUAACAAAGGAGAGGAGAAAUGUCAACAAUAGAGUAGCAAUGAGCAGCAACAACUUAAAACUCAAACACGACCACAACCCAAAACAAGUUGAGGAAUCAACGGCAACAGCAAAUAUUCAAACCAAAAGACUCAAUCGAACUUGAAUUUACCCAGAAUAGAAGCAAUGACACUUCAGAACAAAUUCCACACACAACCAAAACCAAAAAUGCUUAGCGAACGAAAACAAACCCCAAGUUAAACCCAACAGAUGCACCACCUACCUGAAAAGGCAUCAGAAUGCUUCAAUAAAUCCAAACUCAACUGAAAAUACAAAAAUGUGAUGAGGAUAGAUGGAGAUAAGGAAUAAAUUGGCAGUUUCUCAAUGAUACAGUAGAGUCUUUUUGAUUUUUAUGAGUUUUUAUUUGUUUUUUUGGUUUUUGGAAGAUGGAAUUCAAAUUUAGAUCUAAAAAAACUAAGAGAGAGAGCUUCCAGGGGAAUUCGUGAGCUGAAAGGAAUCCCUCACACAAGGCAUUGGGCUGGAUUUUAUAGGCAAAGUGGAGGGGGUCUCAAAUUUAUAUUUGCAAAGCAGUCCCCAACUUUAUUUCUGUUUCCCACCUUUAAAUUUUUAAAAUUGACACCAAGGUCCUAUUGUAGAAUGUUCUAGCGCAUUCUGUAGCAUUUCAUCCUACGUCAAAAGCCCAAAACACCCCUGAGUUCAAACUAACUAAGGACUAUAGUUGACAAAUCCUUUGAACUAUAGUGAUUAACUGGAAUGCAUCCUAAUUAACAAUCAUCAUCAAGUUGAAGUCAACCACACUUAAACAAAACUGAUAAAGAAAAAUCAACAAACCAAAGGCUAAAUUAAAACCUAAUACCAAAUUAGCACAGUUUCACUGAACCAACAUGAAAUAAAUUUCAAUCUACCUAAUAAUCAAACAAAAAUCAAAAUAGAACAAGAAAGAAUUAACUAAUAGAUUCUGCCGAAAAAUCAAAGCAACACAAAUCAAAACUAAGAAUGGAAAUUAACCGGAUAUUAACGAACAUGAACAUGGAAUCAAAGAGAAAAGAUAAAACAAAAGAAAAAGGCAAGAUUCAGAACUCACUAAAAUGGCUUUGACGACUUUUGAAUUCGAACAGACUUGUGUAAUUUUGACUUUGCCAAUGGUGAAUUUCCUUUAUUAGGGGAAUGAGAGAGCCAUGCAGUACUUUACCUGGUCGAUUUUUAAAAAUUUGGGGUUUCCGGCCAAUCCUCAACUUGAAAUUCGAGACGCCUGGAGUUGAUUUGAAGAAAACUAAUUGAAGAUAUGGGCAGAGGAUGUCAAAGAGAUCUUAUAGUGUGAAUUUGGGUUCAUUUGGGACAAGUCACGUCAUGGCCGAAAAACUUCAAACUGUUAUUCGAAGAGUUCUAGCAGGGUUUGAAGGAAACUCGUCUUAGAUUUGGAAUGAGGGGAAGUAGAGGAACACGAGGUUUAUUUUUUGGGGUGAUUGGGAGUGGUAAUGUUCGCCGGUAGCAGCGGCUACGGUGAGAUACAAAGAGUGGUACGAGGAGAGUAACUUAUGUAUCUUAGGGUUAAUGAGAACUUAAGACACAAUUAUACAAACUACAAAUUAAUUGAGGGUCAUUGGAUCAGAGGAAAUAAAUUGUCCAUAUUGGAUGACGCCUAAACAGCGUCGUUUC
rnacentral:lncRNA from 1 species